ensembl:lncRNA
UGGGGAAGGAUGGUCUCUUAAUUCUGCAUGGGAGACAAAAGAGACCCAGUCCUUUCCAUCACAAAGCCCCAACUACCUUCUUGGCAAAGAGUAGGGAAAUGCCUUUCAUUCUUUCCCAGUGACCCUGGAAUUGAGUAAAUGAAAGACAGUUGGUUUCCCAAUCAGGUUAUUCCACCACGUUGAACUUUUGGUAACUGUCCUUGCCCCAUCGUGUUGCUAAAGCAUUCAGGUUGAACAGUGUUCAGGAAGAACACUCAAGCAAAAACUGGUUUGCAGCCAAAUCCAGAGACUGCAAACCCCAGUGGUUUCAGGGGCCAGACAGGGAGAGUAAACAUGUGAAACAAUAGGGAGUAGUCCUGUCUGCGAGGGACAGAAGAGUUCUCAUGCCCCAGCCUAAUAAAUGAAAAAAAUUAUUUACACUGCAGUGGAACCAAAGAUGCACCUAAAGCCAUUGGGAUGUGGUUUCUCUUUUUCAUCUCACUGCUCUGUGUCUGAUGUGGCUUCAUUCUCAGAGGAUUGUGGGCUCACAAGCCAACAUCCUGACAGUUUAGAAACCACAGCAGAAAUGUUUCUCUUUCUCAAUUGUUUCAACAUCAAUCCUGGAUGAAACUGUUAUUGGCCUUGUUUGAGUUCAGGUGGUCAUCCCUGAACCAUCACUGUACCUGAAAGAGGUAUGGCGGUGUCGUUGGCCAGACCUGAGUCUGACGCAUCCUGGAGUGGAGUUCAGGCCCACUUUAACCACAUAGACUGAGAAUGGGGAAUGGGAAAGUAGGUUUCAUGCCUUUGUUUGGGCUCCCUCAGAAGCAGACUCUGAGUUGAGGAUUUGAGGUGCAAGUGGAUUAUUUGGAAGAUGAUUCCAGAAAGCACCAUUAGGUGAUUGAGGGAAUGAAACAGAGAAAAGAAGCCUGCUGAAAUAGGAAGUAUUAUCAAGCAAGUUACCACUGUGGACAACUGGAGCACAAUCCCAUCAGUGAACUCUGCCAGCCAGUGUAGAGCAUCGUUUUAGUCUAUUUUGUGCUGCUAUAACAGAAUACCACAGACUGGGCAAUUUAAAACAAUAGAAUUUUAUUUGGCUCAUGGUUAUGGAGGCGGGGGAGUCCAAGGGCAUAGUGCUGGCAUCUGGCAAGGGCCUUCGUGCUGUAUCAUUCAUGAUGGAAGGUGAAAAGGUAAGAGAAGGCAAGGGUGAGCAAGAGAUUGAACUCGCAGCCUCAAGACCUUUCACAAUCGGCAUUAAUCUGUUCUCAUGAGGGCUCCAUUAGGCUCCACUCUCCAGCACAUUUGAAUUGGGGAUUAAGUUUCCAAUACAUGCUUUUGGGGGCACACAUUCAAACCAUAGCAAACAUAGACUUCAGUGUUAUCCCAUCUUAAGGCUGAGGUAGCUGGGGUAUUUAUCUACCAACUCUGUCAGUCAUUGUCUGACAGUUGCUACCAGGAGUGUUUUUGCCCCGAACUUCCAGCAUGGAAGAGCAAAGUGGUCCCUGCUGGUCUGAGAAAGUCCUCAGACAAAGAGAUGAAGCUUGGACCAGGGUGCAUUGAAGGUUAGGACAAUGGCCAGGGCACCAAUAGCCUUUGCUUCAUUGUCUGAAGGAAAAUUGGGGUGCUAGGAUCAGAAGAAGGCACUGAUGUUGUACAGGUCAAAUCAACAUACGUUCAUCCAAGGAGUGAACUGGUUGGCCCACUCACUGUCUGACUCCAUUAACCAAGCAGUGGCAGGGAAGGGUAUACUCUGUUGCUUUAAGGAACUGGCAUGGAAGCUGCACUUGUCACUUUUGUUCACAUCUCAUAGGCCAGGAUGUGAUCAAAUGGCCAUAUCUAUAUGUGGGGAAAUGUAGCUUUUGACUGUCCAGCCAAAUCUCAGGGAUUAUGGCUGGGUGUGGUGGCUCACUCCUGUAAUCCCAGCACUUUGAGAGGCUGAGGUGGGAGGAUUGCUUGAGCCUAGGGGUUUGAGACCACCCUGGGCAGCAAAAUGAGACUCUUGCCUUUACAAAAAAACAAUGUUUAAACUACCUGGGCAUGUUGGCACAUGCCUGUAGUGCUGGCUACUUGGGAGGCUGAGGCAAGAGAAUU